rnacentral:lncRNA from 1 species
AGAAAGAUGGCUAAAUACUCCUGCAAGUAUCUCCCUGUGGGAACACCAAAUUAAAUACCUAUCCACACAAAAAAGCACUUUCAUAAGAAGCAAAAAUCAGGUGAGUGAUCACAUAAUCUUGAUUUAACAUAAUACCAAGGAAAAAGGCAUUGAAAAGGGUAGGAAAGACAAGUCUUGCAUUGCCUACACCAGUCCUCUCCCAUCUACCCUGGCAGUGUCCUGAAGAGAGACAAUCUGUGUGCUUGGGGGAGAGAGCCACAUGAGUGAGGAAUUUUGCAUUGGAACUCGGUACUUCUGUGUCACAGUGAAGCACAACACGGCAGAAUUCUGCUGGUGCCACAGAGGGAGCAUGUAGACCAGCCCUGGGCUAGAGGGGAAUGCCCUGCCCCAGUGGGAGAAAACCAAGUCCCUGCCAGUUUCAUCACUGACUGACUAAAGUGGCCUGGGGCCCAGAAUAAAUCUGAGAGGCAGUCAGGCCAUAGGAUUACAGUUAUUGGGCAAGCCCUGGUCCCAGCUGCACUGGUCUCAGGGGCAAUGGACUUGGGUUGUGCAUGACCCAUUGUAACACCAGCCGUGGCAACCAAGGAGUGUCUAUCUCAUCCCUCCCCCUACUCCAUCCAGUACAGCUCAGGAGGAGACUCUUCACUUGGAGAAUGGACAGGGAAGAGUACAAAAACAUUGUCGUGCAACUUGGUUUCCAGCUCAGCUACAGUAAAAUAAAGCACUAGGCAGAUUUCUGAAGGCCCUAAUUCCAGGUCUGAGCUCCUGAAUGACAUUUUUAGACCCACACUGGGACAGAAGGGAAUCUGCUAUCCUGAAGGGAAGGAUCCAUUUCUGGCUGGAUUCACCAUCUACUGACAAAAGAGCCCCUGGUCGUGGAAUAAACAUCGGCAGUAGCCAGGCCCCGCUGUGUAAUUACGUCUGGAAUUGGUGGGUUCUUGGUCUCACCGACUUCAAGAAUGAAGCCGUGGAUCCUCGUGGUGAGUGUUACAGCUCUUAAGGUGACGCACCUGGAGUUUGUUCCUUCUGAUGUUCAGAUGUGUUUGGAGUUUCUUCCUUCUGGUGGGUUCGUGGUCUCGUUGGCUCAGGAGUGAAGUUGCAGACCUUGGCGCUGACAGAAUCAAGUUUUAAAGAUCCAGUUAAAUGCCUGGCUAUCAACUUGCCAAGAGCUGAUCCAGAUGGAAGCCAUCAUCCUAAGAGUCAGACAACUCAUUAACUCUAAAGGGACUGCCAUGUAUUAAAAAUUCUCUUUAUGGAUUGUGAUGAGUUGCAUUGUUUGAUUUAUUCUUUUGUAUUCAAACUAUAUUUAUGGUGUAUCUAGAAAUAAAAUUACCUUUAAGAUA